AGGGUUCGUUUACGUGAUUCAAGUCUCUACUACUCAGACUCUCCUUUUUCGCUCGCAAAGGCAAACGGCGCCGUUAGCGUCUUCUUUCCCUUUCUCCGGCGAGCGUUCUGAACGCCGCCGUGAAUCGCUCCUCUCCCAAUCUGAGGCUCACUCUCUCCGUUUCUAUCUCCCCUCGUGAUUCUCUAUCUCUCCCCAACCUACCGUAAUCGAACCCUAAACCGUUAAUUUGUUACAAAGCUAGAAACCCUAAAAGUUAAGAAUCGGGAUUAAACGAAGACGAAGAUGAAUCAGAAGGAACAACCAUAUGGCAAGUGUUCAGUGAUGCUCAAAAGUUCAUAUUGUAUUACGAGCAGAUGUGAAGAUGCCGUAGAAAUGUGGAGUUACGAAGACUCACCUGAAGUGAAGAUCGUGAUUGAGUAGUUUGGCGAAAUAAACGCGAGAAUUGCUUCAAUGCAGAUUAUGCAAUGUUAUUGAGAUGAAGACUGAUGCGUUUGUGAGGACGAGUUGAUUCGAGGUUGUUGUAGUCAGAAGAGAUGAAGAUGAUGAGAAUCCAUGGAGAUUGGUGAAGAUGAUGAAUCAAGAGAAUGAAGGUGUUUGAAGAUUGAUCAAUGCUUGAUGAAGAUUGAAGAGAGGAAUCGAAGUGAGGAAUGAGGAGUGAAGAAGAUUGAAGAAGGUGGUUGAAGAUUGAGAGGUGAAGCAGUGAAGGUGGAAGAAGUGUUGAGAAGUGGAGGAGAGGUUUGAAGGUUAUGUGAAGAAUGGUGGAGAUGAAGAAUGUUGAAGAGAGAGAGUGGUAUCAAGGGAAUGAAGGAGAUUGGAGAAGUGUGGAGUGAUGGUUAUGGGUUGAAGAUGGAGAAUGAAUGGAGAGCCUUGAAUGAAGGAGGAGCAGAGUAUAUAUAGGUUUCAGGUUGCAGGGAUCUUGGAAUAUAUUGAAGCAUGAAGAGGAACAUAGUUUAGCAUAGGCUUUUCUUUUGUAUUUGGAUGGAAUGUAAUGGUGAAAAUAACUUAGACUUGAAUUCUGUAUAAAUGUGGAUGAAUUAUGAAUGGUGUACUGUUUGAUUUACAUGUAUAUGGGACCUUGUAUAUUUUUUGUAA